CUUAACGCGUGUAGUCUGCUGUCUACCUUUACUCGCUAGAUAGACCGUCCUCGCUAGAUUUUACUUCUUGACCUCUCUAUAUAAUCUAAUUUGUUUCAUUCUGAUCUACAUUUUUUCUGUCCAGGGUCACAAGUGUGAAGUACAUUUUGCCAGAGUGUCCACAAGCUGGUGGGGGCGGCGGUAGUGGUCCGUUGACGUCACAAAGUAAGAUGAAAAUAUCGAAACAUGUGUUCGAACUUCUUGGUGCUUUUUAUAGUGUGGGGAAGGGGGACAUUUCUCGAAGGAUUGUCCACAAUAGGGUCGCGGCGGUGGUGGAAGUUGUACCUGCCAUGAGAUAAACAAAAAACAAAAAAAACAUCAUUUUUAGUGCUCAUUUUUAACGAAGAAGAGGGCAAUGUAGCAAGGGAUUUUCCUCAAGGAGGAAGCAUUGGUAGUAGCAACUGUUACAAAUGUAAUGAAGCUGACCACACCUCGAAAGGCUGCCCAAAUCUCUUCAGUGAAUUGACGGAAGAUGGAAAGCCACAUGAGCAAUACAUUCCAGAAGCUGUGACAUGCGAUGAAAAGGAACUGUUUAAGGGCAUCGUCUGUGUGGGAACGCUUUAACAAUUUUGAUAAAGUCGUCCUCCAUGCUACAGAAAAAGAUGUACUUCAAUACAGAACAUCAUUCGAAGAAGCCGGCCUGGGCCAACUACUACUUUAAAACAUUAAGAAUUCUGGCUACAUAAAACCAACACCUGUUCAGAAAGCUUCAGUUGUAGUUAUUCUUGCCAAAAGAGGUUUCAUUGCUUGUGCUGUCACGGGCUCCGGCAGAACGGCAAUCCAAUUAAUUAACGCUGUGUAAUUUUGAAACCUCGAUGCCCUCGUACUGACUUGAUUCGAAUGGGUCGGUAUGAACUGGGUAAGUUGAAGUAAAAGUAAUUUUGAGUGGGCACGCCGGUGAUUGCGACUACUAAAAGGUCCAAUUGCAUCUAAGAUGCUCAACAAACCCUUCGUGAUAUUCGUUGAUUAAGUCAUCUAAAAUUUUACAUUUUUUCAUGCAGGCGGCGUAAUUGGUACCGGUUAUGAACAUAUUGUUAGAACAAGGCGUUGAUGGUGCGUCUCAUGCCAUGCGGCAAAAGCCAGAAGUUGUAAUUGUCGCACCCACUCGUGAGUUGGCCAUUCAAAUUCACCGCGAGGCGUGUAAAUUGUCCUACAGUUCGGUUUUAAAGUCUGUGAUUAUAUAUGGAGGAACUCUCACGAGCCAUCAGCGGUCAAAUCUUCAAGCUGGGUGCAAUAUUUUUGUCGCGACUGCGGGGCGAUUCAAGGAUUUUCUCGACCGUGAAGUAUUUGACUUCUCGGGAGUCAGGUUUUAAAUUUUGGACGAAGCUGAUCGAAUGCUUGAUAUGGGUUUCGGUCCCAAUGUUGAAAAAAUUGUCAAUCAUUCAACGAUGCAUCCGAAAAUAUGUCCUUGAUGGCUUUUGAGUAUGAGAUUUCACUGAUGUAAUACUAUUUGUUUCUCUGUAGGGAAUCCGUCGUGUUUGUAUGUUUUCGGCUACAUUCCCAGAUGACGUACAAGCGCUGGCUGCGACGUACAUGGAAGACUACAUAUUCGUCACAACAGGCAUUGUCGGUGACACCAAUCCGGAUGUUGAACAGCUGUUUUUUUUUCAGUGCUCGAAAAGAGACAAGAGACCUAAGCUGAUCGAAGUUUUACAAGAUGUCGGUGAUGCCAAGACUAUCGUUUUCGUCGACAGCAAAAAGACGGCGAAUUUCGUCGCUGCAUUCUCGUGCAAUAACAACUUACAAUCUACCAGCAUCCAUGGUGAGCGUAAACGAAAAUCGUAAAUGUCUCUUCCGAAGCUUCUGUCAGAAGAAUAUGCUAGCAAUCAACUCACGAAUCAUGUAAGGU